UUAGACAGCCUGGUAAUUGCACAGGUGUGCUGUAGGCUGGCUGGCCACAUUAAGUCACUGAAAUCUGAAAUGUGCUGUUUGCUUUAUUUGGGAGGGUCUUACAAAAAAUAUAAAUGCAACACUUUUGUUUUUGCUCCCAUUUUUAUUAGUUCAACAAUCUAAAACAUUUUUCUAUAUAAAUGAAAUAAUUUCUUUCAAAUACUGUUAACAAAUCUGUCUAAAUCUGAUCGUGAGCACUUCUUUAGAUAAUCCAUCCCACCUCACAGGUCUGGCAUAUCCAGAUACUAAUUGGAUAGCAUAAUUAUAGCACUGACUACAAUAAAAACCACUGUGAAAUGUGCUUUCAGAGUGGCCAUUAUCUGGUUUGGUGACAACUUGCCUCACGCAAUGCAACAUCCAUUACAUAGAGUUGAUCAGGUUGUUGAUUGUGGAAUGUAGGUCCACUCCUCUUACAUGGCUCACAUGUCCAGUGAGAAAGCUGGCCAUGAAAGAACUGGGAUGUUUUCAGCUUCUAGGAAUUUUGUGCAGAUUCUUACAAGAUGGAGCAACAUGCUGCAACAUGAGGAGAUAGUCGUGGAUGAAUGGCACAACAAUGGGUCUCAGGAUCUCUCUGGAUCUGUUUGCUUGCAGAUCAAAAGAAAUGUUUCACCUGCCACAUUUUUUUGUUUUAGGAUUUUAUUGCGUGUGCGUUUGCAGGUCAUUGCAUGAACCUAAUUUUUCCUUGUCUGGCAACAUUUUGAUUUCGCCAAAUAGUUUCACACAGUAACAAUAAACCAUUCCCUAUAAACAUAAAAAAAACAACAC